GCGGGAGUAGUGAAAAGGUCAUCACCCUUGCCCUCCAAGCAAGUAUCGCGAGUUCGAAUCUCGUCUCCCGCA
rnacentral:tRNA from 1 species